ensembl:lncRNA
CAAAGCACAAAGCAGACACAGACAAACAGGGACAACACUCUGAAGGAGAUGGGAUCGUGACAGGAAGGUCGUAAAAUGUUUUUCCCAGCAUCUGCAAAGCUCACUAAAUAAUAUCUGUUUCAUUUAAUCUGUACAAAAAGCUGCCCCUCCAGGAAGUUGUUGGCCCCGAGCAAAGACUGUGGUCUUAUAACUGUUCUCAGUGUGCGAAGCUCCUAUAGCUCCAGAAAUGAGAGACGCAUUGUUCCUUAUUUCUCAAGCAAAUAAGUGUCCAAAAUAAUUUGGGGAUCUAGUGAGUACGGAAGCGGGAUGAAUUUCUUUCCUUCAUUUCAUUUCAUAAAAAGGCAAUACAGCUUACAGUCACAUGAACAGUCUGACAGAGCUCCUCGUGAGACCCUGUCCAUAUCUCCUGGGACAUUAAUUCAGCUUUAACAUGAGAGCUACCAAAAGUCCACUGGUAGUCAACGUGUUUCAUAGCUUAUAGCCAAAGACAGCGCUGGGGUUCUUGUAUGGAUGUUUGGUGUUCAUCAUAUGUAUAUAUUCUUCAACAUCUGAGACAACCCCCGACCCCGGACUCUGAUGGGACCAUAGAAUGUGGACUCUGAUGGGACCAGAGGGGGUGGACUCUGAUGGGACUAGAGGAGGUGGACUCUGAUGGGACCAUAGAAUGUGGACUCUGAUGGGACCAGAGAACGUGGACUCUGAUGGGACCAGAGGGGGUGGACUCUGAUGGGACCAGAGGAGGUGGACUCUGAUGGGACCAGAGAACGUGGACUCUGAUGGACCAGAGAACGUGGACUCUGAUGGGACCAGAGGGGGUGGACUCCUCUGUCA